CCAAUAGCGUAUAUUAAAGUUGUUGCAGUUAAAAAGCUCGUAGUUGAAUUUCGGGAUUGACGUGAUGGUCGUGCCUUACGGGGUAUGAACUGUCGCAGUUGAUUUCUCACCUUCUGGAGAAGCUCGAUUUCCUUAAUUGGGUGUCUUGCGGAACCAGGACCUUUACCUUGAAAAAAUUAGAGUGUUUAAAGCAGGCAUUUUGCUCGAAUACAUUAGCAUGGAAUAAUAGAAUAGGACGGCAUGGUUCUAUUUUGUUGGUUUCUAGGAUCACCGUAAUGAUUAAUAGGGAUAGUUGGGGGCAUUAGUAUUCAAUUGUCAGAGGUGAAAUUCUUGGAUUUAUUGAAGACUAACUACUGCGAAAGCAUUUGCCAAGGAUGUUUUCAUUAAUCAGGAACGAAAGUUAGGGGAUCGAAGACGAUCAGAUACCGUCGUAGUCUUAACCAUAAACUAUGCCGACUAGGAAUCAGACGAUGUUAAUUUUUUAAUGACUCGUUUGGCACCUUACG
rnacentral:misc_RNA from 1 species